rnacentral:rRNA from 1 species
AGAGUUUGAUCCUGGCUCAGGACGAACGCUGGCGGCACGCUUAACACAUGCAAGUCGAACGGAGAACAUUGAGCUUGCUUAAUGUUCUUAGUGGCGGACGGGUGAGUAACACGUGAGUAACCUGCCUCUGAGAGUGGGAUAGCUUCUGGAAACGGAUGGUAAUACCGCAUAACAUCAUGGAUUCGCAUGUUUCUAUGAUCAAAGAUUUAUCGCUCAGAGAUGGACUCGCGUCUGAUUAGCUAGUUGGUAAGGUAACGGCUUACCAAGGCGACGAUCAGUAGCCGACCUGAGAGGGUGAUCGGCCACAUUGGAACUGAGACACGGUCCAAACUCCUACGGGAGGCAGCAGUGGGGAAUAUUGCACAAUGGGCGAAAGCCUGAUGCAGCAACGCCGCGUGAGCGAUGAAGGCCUUCGGGUCGUAAAGCUCUGUCCUCAAGGAAGAUAAUGACGGUACUUGAGGAGGAAGCCCCGGCUAACUACGUGCCAGCAGCCGCGGUAAUACGUAGGGGGCUAGCGUUAUCCGGAAUUACUGGGCGUAAAGGGUGCGUAGGUGGUUUCUUAAGUCAGAGGUGAAAGGCUACGGCUCAACCGUAGUAAGCCUUUGAAACUGGGAAACUUGAGUGCAGGAGAGGAGAGUGGAAUUCCUAGUGUAGCGGUGAAAUGCGUAGAUAUUAGGAGGAACACCAGUUGCGAAGGCGGCUCUCUGGACUGUAACUGACACUGAGGCACGAAAGCGUGGGGAGCAAACAGGAUUAGAUACCCUGGUAGUCCACGCCGUAAACGAUGA